rnacentral:rRNA from 1 species
UACGUAGGGGGCUAGCGUUGUCCGGAAUCACUGGGCUUAAAGGGCGCGUAGGCGGGCCGGACGGUCCGGGGUGAAAUCCCCCCGCUCAACGGGGGAACGGCCCCGGACACCGCCGGCCUCGAGGGGGGUAGGGGCGAGCGGAACGCUGGGUGGAGCGGUGAAAUGCGUUGAUAUCCAGCGGAACUCCGGUGGCGAAGGCGGCUCGCUGGGCCCUCUCUGACGCUGAGGCGCGAAAGCCAGGGGAGCGAACGGG